UGAGAACCUUGGAGAUUAACAGCUGAUCUG
rnacentral:piRNA from 1 species